rnacentral:rRNA from 1 species
AGGACGAACGCUGGCGGCGUGCUUAACACAUGCAAGUCGAGCGGAAAGGCCCUUCGGGGUACUCGAGCGGCGAACGGGUGAGUAACACGUGAGUAAUCUGCCCCUAGCUCUGGGAUAGCUCCGGGAAACCGGGAUUAAUACCAGAUACGACCACUUUAGACAUCUUCUGUGGUGGAAAGAACUUCGGCUAGGGAUGAACUCGCGGCCUAUCAGCUUGUUGGUGAGGUAACGGCUCACCAAGGCGACGACGGGUAGCCGGCCUGAGAGGGCGACCGGCCACACUGGGACUGAGACACGGCCCAGACUCCUACGGGAGGCAGCAGUGGGGAAUAUUGCGCAAUGGGCGAAAGCCUGACGCAGCGACGCCGCGUGGGGAUGAAGGCCUUCGGUUGUAACCCUUUCAGCAGGGACGAAGCGAAAGUGACGGUACCUGCAGAAGAAGCGCCGGCUAACUACGUGCCAGCAGCCGC